GUAGGUGGCAAGCGUUGUCCGGAAUUAUUGGGCGUAAAGCGCGCGCAGGCGGUUCUUUAAGUCUGAUGUGAAAGCCCACGGCUCAACCGUGGAGGGUCAUUGGAAACUGGAGAACUUGAGUACAGAAGAGGAAAGCGGAAUUCCACGUGUAGCGGUGAAAUGCGUAGAGAUGUGGAGGAACAUCAGUGGCGAAGGCGGCUUUCUGGUCUGUAACUGACGCUGAGGCGCGAAAGCGUGGGGGAGCAAACAGGAUUAGAUACCCUGGUAGUCCACGCCGUAAACGAUGAGUGCUAAGUGUUAGGGGGUUUCCGCCCCUUAGUGCUGCAGCUAACGCAUUAAGCACUCCGCCCUGGGAGUACGGCCGCAAGGCUG
rnacentral:rRNA from 1 species